rnacentral:rRNA from 1 species
CCUACGGGAGGCAGCAGUGAGGAAUAUUGGUCAAUGGGCGAGAGCCUGAACCAGCCAAGUCCGCGUGAAGGAAGAAGUUUAGGGGUGUAAACUUCUUUUGCAGGGGAAUAAAGUGCAGGACCGUGUGCCUUUUGGUAUUCCCGCUGGU